rnacentral:rRNA from 1 species
AGCGUACACGGUGGAUGCCCUGGCAGUCAGAGGCGAUGAAGGACGUGCUAAUCUGCGAUAAGCGUCGGUAAGGUGAUAUGAACCGUUAUAACCGGCGAUUUCCGAAUGGGGAAACCCAGUGUGUUUCGACACACUAUCAUUAACUGAAUCCAUAGGUUAAUGAGGCGAACCGGGGGAACUGAAACAUCUAAGUACCCCGAGGAAAAGAAAUCAACCGAGAUUCCCCCAGUAGCGGCGAGCGAACGGGGAGCAGCCCAGAGCCUGAAUCAGUGUGUGUGUUAGUGGAAGCGUCUGGAAAGGCGCGCGAUACAGGGUGACAGCCCCGUACACAAAAAUGCACAUGCUGUGAGCUCGAUGAGUAGGGCGGGACACGUGGUAUCCUGUCUGAAUAUGGGGGGACCAUCCUCCAAGGCUAAAUACUCCUGACUGACCGAUAGUGAACCAGUACCGUGAGGGAAAGGCGAAAAGAACCCCGGCGAGGGGAGUGAAAAAGAACCUGAAACCGUGUACGUACAAGCAGUGGGAGCACGCUUAGGCGUGUGACUGCGUACCUUUUGUAUAAUGGGUCAGCGACUUAUAUUCUGUAGCAAGGUUAACCGAAUAGGGGAGCCGAAGGGAAACCGAGUCUUAACUGGGCGUUAAGUUGCAGGGUAUAGACCCGAAACCCGGUGAUCUAGCCAUGGGCAGGUUGAAGGUUGGGUAACACUAACUGGAGGACCGAACCGACUAAUGUUGAAAAAUUAGCGGAUGACUUGUGGCUGGGGGUGAAAGGCCAAUCAAACCGGGAGAUAGCUGGUUCUCCCCGAAAGCUAUUUAGGUAGCGCCUCGUGAAUUCAUCUCCGGGGGUAGAGCACUGUUUCGGCAAGGGGGUCAUCCCGACUUACCAACCCGAUGCAAACUGCGAAUACCGGAGAAUGUUAUCACGGGAGACACACGGCGGGUGCUAACGUCCGUCGUGAAGAGGGAAACAACCCAGACCGCCAGCUAAGGUCCCAAAGUCAUGGUUAAGUGGGAAACGAUGUGGGAAGGCCCAGACAGCCAGGAUGUUGGCUUAGAAGCAGCCAUCAUUUAAAGAAAGCGUAAUAGCUCACUGGUCGAGUCGGCCUGCGCGGAAGAUGUAACGGGGCUAAACCAUGCACCGAAGCUGCGGCAGCGACGCUGAUGCGUUGUUGGGUAGGGGAGCGUUCUGUAAGCCUGCGAAGGUGUGCUGUGAGGCAUGCUGGAGGUAUCAGAAGUGCGAAUGCUGACAUAAGUAACGAUAAAGCGGGUGAAAAGCCCGCUCGCCGGAAGACCAAGGGUUCCUGUCCAACGUUAAUCGGGGCAGGGUGAGUCGACCCCUAAGGCGAGGCCGAAAGGCGUAGUCGAUGGGAAACAGGUUAAUAUUCCUGUACUUGGUGUUACUGCGAAGGGGGGACGGAGAAGGCUAUGUUGGCCGGGCGACGGUUGUCCCGGUUUAAGCGUGUAGGCUGGUUUUCCAGGCAAAUCCGGAAAAUCAAGGCUGAGGCGUGAUGACGAGGCACUACGGUGCUGAAGCAACAAAUGCCCUGCUUCCAGGAAAAGCCUCUAAGCAUCAGGUAACAUCAAAUCGUACCCCAAACCGACACAGGUGGUCAGGUAGAGAAUACCAAGGCGCUUGAGAGAACUCGGGUGAAGGAACUAGGCAAAAUGGUGCCGUAACUUCGGGAGAAGGCACGCUGAUAUGUAGGUGAAGUCCCUCGCGGAUGGAGCUGAAAUCAGUCGAAGAUACCAGCUGGCUGCAACUGUUUAUUAAAAACACAGCACUGUGCAAACACGAAAGUGGACGUAUACGGUGUGACGCCUGCCCGGUGCCGGAAGGUUAAUUGAUGGGGUCAGCGCAAGCGAAGCUCUUGAUCGAAGCCCCGGUAAACGGCGGCCGUAACUAUAACGGUCCUAAGGUAGCGAAAUUCCUUGUCGGGUAAGUUCCGACCUGCACGAAUGGCGUAAUGAUGGCCAGGCUGUCUCCACCCGAGACUCAGUGAAAUUGAACUCGCUGUGAAGAUGCAGUGUACCCGCGGCAAGACGGAAAGACCCCGUGAACCUUUACUAUAGCUUGACACUGAACAUUGAGCCUUGAUGUGUAGGAUAGGUGGGAGGCUUUGAAGUGUGGACGCCAGUCUGCAUGGAGCCGACCUUGAAAUACCACCCUUUAAUGUUUGAUGUUCUAACGUGGACCCGUAAUCCGGGUUGCGGACAGUGUCUGGUGGGUAGUUUGACUGGGGCGGUCUCCUCCUAAAGAGUAACGGAGGAGCACGAAGGUUGGCUAAUCCUGGUCGGACAUCAGGAGGUUAGUGCAAUGGCAUAAGCCAGCUUGACUGCGAGCGUGACGGCGCGAGCAGGUGCGAAAGCAGGUCAUAGUGAUCCGGUGGUUCUGAAUGGAAGGGCCAUCGCUCAACGGAUAAAAGGUACUCCGGGGAUAACAGGCUGAUACCGCCCAAGAGUUCAUAUCGACGGCGGUGUUUGGCACCUCGAUGUCGGCUCAUCACAUCCUGGGGCUGAAGUAGGUCCCAAGGGUAUGGCUGUUCGCCAUUUAAAGUGGUACGCGAGCUGGGUUUAGAACGUCGUGAGACAGUUCGGUCCCUAUCUGCCGUGGGCGCUGGAGAACUGAGGGGGGCUGCUCCUAGUACGAGAGGACCGGAGUGGACGCAUCACUGGUGUUCGGGUUGUCAUGCCAAUGGCACUGCCCGGUAGCUAAAUGCGGAAGAGAUAAGUGCUGAAAGCAUCUAAGCACGAAACUUGCCCCGAGAUGAGUUCUCCCUGACUCCUUGA